CAGCAGCCGCGGUAAUACGAAGGGGGCUAGCGUUGUUCGGAUUUACUGGGCGUAAAGGGCGCGUAGGCGGGCGAAUAAGUCAGGGGUGAAAUCCCAAGGCUCAACCUUGGAACUGCCUUUGAUACUGUUUGUCUUGAGUUCGAGAGAGGUAAGUGGAACUGCGAGUGUGGAGGUGAAAUUCGUAGAUAUUCGCAAGAACACCAGUGGCGAAGGCGGCUUACUGGCUCGAAACUGACGCUGAGGCGCGAAAGCGUGGGGAGCAAACAGGAUUAGAUACCCCUGUAGUCCCUGUCUCUUAUAC
rnacentral:rRNA from 1 species